rnacentral:rRNA from 1 species
CCUACGGGUGGCUGCAGUAGGGAAUCUUCCACAAUGGGCGCAAGCCUGAUGGAGCAACACCGCGUGAGUGAAGAAGGGUUUCGGCUCGUAAAGCUCUGUUGUUGGAGAAGAACGUGCGUGAGAGUAACUGUUCACGCAGUGACGGUAUCCAACCAGAAAGUCACGGCUAACUACGUGCCAGCAGCCGCGGUAAUACGUAGGUGGCAAGCGUUAUCCGGAUUUAUUGGGCGUAAAGCGAGCGCAGGCGGUUGCUUAGGUCUGAUGUGAAAGCCUUCGGCUUAACCGAAGAAGUGCAUCGGAAACCGGGCAACUUGAGUGCAGAAGAGGACAGUGGAACUCCAUGUGUAGCGGUGGAAUGCGUAGAUAUAUGGAAGAACACCAGUGGCGAAGGCGGCCGCCUGGCCUGUUACUGACGCUGAGGCACGAAAGCGUGGGGAGCAAAUAGGAUUAGAUACCCUUGUAGUC